rnacentral:rRNA from 1 species
UGAUCAGUCAUAAUUUCUGUUGGCUCAUCAACGCCUGGCUUUGCCCGCAGCUGGUCUCAGCUGCAUCCAGAUCAGAAUAAAAAGAAGCCCAGCCGGCCAAACCGCCAAGGCCCAGCCUGGCUGCCAGGCAACCCCAGCCACACACGCACGCACCCCAGCCACACACGCACACGAGGGGAUAAGCCCCAGGCCGGUCCUAUCCAACCUCUGGCUGAGAUCUCACCGCUUGCCUUCCUCGAUUCCCCUCUGCUCUCUCCUCUCGCUUCCAAGACCCCCGUCAGCCAGCGCUCCCUUCCCCAGCGCUCCCUCUCUCUACACCCGCAAGCGUGCUCUGCCUCCCCGCUCGCUGGGCUCUCUCCCCUCUCCAGCUCGACCUCGCCUCCAAGCCGAGCGCCUCAGGCUGCAGCUCGUCAGCCAUGCUCUCCGACUGCUGUGCCUUCCCUCCCGGCCAGCAGCCGGGUCUCCAUCUCCGGCCGCGACGCACACGGCCACGCGCGAGCUGGAGUAGUAGGGAGGUUGCACCGUGAUAUUCGAAUCCGCCGCCUUCCUGCCUCUCCUGCCGACGGGAGGAGGACGCCGGAGAGGAGAGCCCGUUUGUCCUGGGCGGGCGAGGGCGCGGGAUGGCGGGCGCGACCUGGCACGGCGGGGCAUGGAGGCGGGCGAGGCCGGGCAUGGAGGCGGUCGAGGGCGCGGUCGGCGGUGGCGCGAGCGGAGCUGGGCGGGCGAGGGCGCGGGAUGGCGGGCGUGACCUGGCACGGCGGCAGGCACAACCUGGUAGGGCGGCGGGCGCGCGCCGCCGGGAAAGGAUGGGCAGGGCGACGACAGCGGCCUCGGACUGGAGCGAGGAAUUGUACCAGCCAGCGAUUUUAUUUUUUACUUGAUUCCUGUAGUACUGCAGGUUGAUUUCAGCAAACCGCGGUUCUUUUUUUUUGCAAAAAAGCGUGACGGACG